rnacentral:rRNA from 1 species
CGAGAGGCUUCGGCAAUGGGGGAAACCCUGACCGAGCGACGCCGCGUGGGCGAUGAAGGCCUUACGGUUGUAAAGCCCUGUCAUGAGGGAAGAAAUGCACGUUGUCAAACAGGCUACGUGUUUGACGGUACCU